rnacentral:rRNA from 1 species
UUGGAGGGCAAGUCUGGUGCCAGCAGCCGCGGUAAUUCCAGCUCCAAUAGCGUAUAUUAAAGUUGUUGCAGUUAAAAAGCUCGUAGUUGAAUUUCGGGAUUAGUACGUCGGUCGUGCCUUAGGUACGUACUGGUGUUACUGGUUCCUACCUUCUGACGAACCAUCAUGUCAUUAAUUUGGUGUGGUGGGGAAUCAGGACUGUUACUUUGAAAAAAUUAGAGUGUUUAAAGCAGGCUCGCGCUUGAAUACAUUAGCAUGGAAUAAUGAAAUAGGACGUUGAUCCUAUUUUGUUGGUUUCUAGGAUUGACGUAAUGAUUAAUAGGGAUAGUUGGGGGCAUUAGUAUUCAAUUGUCAGAGGUGAAAUUCUUGGAUUUAUUGAAGACUAACUACUGCGAAAGCAUUUGCCAAGGAUGUUUUCAUUAAUCAAGAACGAAAGUUAGGGGAUCGAAGACGAUCAGAUACCGUCGUAGUCUUAACCAUAAACUACGCCGACUAGGGAUCGGAUGAUGUUAUUUUUAAUGACUCAUUCGGCGCCUUACGGGAAAC